rnacentral:rRNA from 1 species
AUUGAACGCUGGCGGCAGGCCUAACACAUGCAAGUCGAACGAGUGGCGGACGGGUGAGUAAUGUCUGGGAAACUGCCCGAUGGAGGGGGAUAACUACUGGAAACGGUAGCUAAUACCGCAUACCAUCGGAUGUGCCCAGAUGGGAUUCGCUAGUAGGUGGGGUAACGGCUCACCUAGGCGACGAUCCCUAGCCGGGCUGAGAGGAUGACCAGCCACACUGGACAUGGGACACGGGCCUGACUCCUACGGGGGGCAGCAGUGGGGAAUAUUGCACAAAGGGCACAAGCCUGAUGCAGCCAUGCCGCGUUGAUGAAGAAGGCCUUCGGGUUGUAAAGUACGUUCAGCGAGGAGGCGUUACUCGCAGAAGAAGCAUCGGCGAACUCCGUGCCAGCAGCGGCGGUAAUU